GACAGAGGGUGCAAACGUUGUUCGGAAUUACUGGGCGUAAAGCGCGUGUAGGCUGCUCGGAAAGUCGGAUGUGAAAGCCCUGGGCUCAACCCAGGAAGUGCAUUCGAAACUCCCGAGCUGGAGUCCCGGAGAGGAAGGCGGAAUUCUCGGUGUAGAGGUGAAAUUCGUAGAUAUCGAGAGGAACAUCGGUGGCGAAGGCGACGUCCUGGACCGGCAUUGACGCUGAGGCGCGAAAGCCAGGGGAGCAAACGGG
rnacentral:rRNA from 1 species